rnacentral:rRNA from 1 species
AUGUCCCUCGUCGCAAUCCUUCUCGGGAUUCUCUUGUCAUCGCAUCUCUCCGCGUGUGGUGCUGCGAUGGACACCCUUGCGUCCGGCGAAGUACUUGCGGGAAACAACACCAUCAUCUCCAGCAACGGCAAGUUUGCACUCGGCUUCUUCCAGACAGGCAGUAAGUCCUCCCAACACACCCUCAACUGGUAUCUAGGCAUAUGGUUCAACAAGGUCCCCAAGCUAACUCCCGUAUGGGUCGCCAAUGGUGAUAUCCCAAUCAUAGACCCCGCCUCAUCGGUGCUAACAAUCACUGGUGAAGGCAGUCUUGUCAUCUUGAACCAAACCACCAAAUCCACCAUCUGGUCUGCCCAAACAAAUGUCACUGCCAACAACACCAUCGCAGUGCUAUUGAAUAGUGGCAACUUCAUCUUGCGGAGUUCCUCAAACGCAUCCAGUGUGUUGUGGCAAAGCUUUGACUACCCCACUGAUACUUUCCUCCCUGGCAUGAAAUUGGGUUGGGAUAAGGUCACCGGUCUGAACCGUCGUCUAGUUUCUAGGAAGAAUUCCGUGGACCUAGCUCCAGGAAACUACAUCAGCCAGUUAGAUCCAAAUGGUAAAGAUCAGUUCAUACAUACACUGCUAGAGUCAUCAAUAGCAUAUUGGUCGAGUGGGGUAUGGAACGGCCAGUACUUUCCCUCGAUACUACCUGAGAUGACAGGGAAUGAAAAAUACUAUACAACGUUUACAUUUGUCAAUAAUGACCAAGAGACGUACUUCACAUAUGACUUACCGGGUGAGUCAUUUGUUUACAAUCUUGUGAUGGAUGUUUCGGGUCGAACAAAGUCUCUCAUUUGGGUUGAAGGCUCGGUGGGUUGGAGAAUGGUCUAUGCUCAACCCACACUUCAAUGUGAUGUGUUUGCUGUUUGCGGACCUUUCACCACUUGUACUGAUCAUACACUUCCAUUCUGCAACUGUAUGAAGGGCUUCUCCAUUAGAUCGCCCAAUGACUGGGAGCUAGAAGAUCAUACGGGAGGUUGCAAGAGAAAUACUCCAUUAGAUUGUGGGAUCAGCAAAAACAUAAGUGUGCAGGACAUGUUCCACCCUAUUGCAUGUGUUGGAUUGCCCAAAAAUGGUAGCAACAUAGAACAUGCUAAGAGUGUAGGCAGAUGUGCACAAGUUUGUCUAGGCAACUGCACUUGCACUGCAUAUUCCUAUGAUAACAAUGGAUGUUUUGUUUGGCAUGGUGAAUUAAUUGAUGUGGUACAAAAACAAUGCAAUGACUCCAUUAAUAGUAACAGAGCUACUCUUUACCUUCGCCUAGCCACCAGUGAGGUGCAAAUGAGCUUGGAAAUCAACAACAGAAGAUCAUUAAUCAUUGGAGUAGCAGUUGGCGCAAGUUUUUUGUUCUUUUCUUUGUUGUUCCUCUUCUUUCUGCUAAUUAUUAGGAGAAGGAGGUUGUCUGCUCAAGCUAUAACAUUGCAUGAAGGUAGUGUUGGCAUUACUUCAUUCAGGUACCUUGAUCUGCAACGUGCAACAAAAAACUUCUCAGAGAAGCUAGGGGCAGGUGGUUUUGGUUCUGUAUUCAAGGGGUUUCUAAAUGAUUCUUGUGCUAUAGCAGUUAAAAGACUAGAUGGUGCUUGUCAAGGAGAAAAACAAUUCAGAGCUGAAGUAAGAUCAAUUGGAGUCAUCCAACACAUCAAUUUAGUUAAACUAAUUGGCUUUUGUACCGAGGGGGAUAGUAGGUUGCUUGUCUAUGAACACAUGCAAAAUCGUUCUCUUGAUUCUCAUUUGUUCCAAAGUAAUCAUACAGAAAUGGAACUGACAUGGACAAUAAGGUAUCAGAUAGCUCUUGGAGUUGCUAGAGGAUUGGCCUACUUGCAUGAUAGUUGCCAGGAUUGCAUUAUACAUUGUGAUAUCAAGCCUGAAAACAUACUUCUUGAUGCUUCAUUUGUUCCGAAAAUAGCAGAUUUUGGGAUGGCGAAGUUUCUUGGAAGGGAUUUCAGUCGAGUUCUCACAACAAUGAGAGGAACUAUAGGAUAUCUUGCACCUGAAUGGAUUAGCGGGACUAUUAUUACAGCAAAAGUUGACGUCUACAGCUAUGGCAUGAUUUUGUUGGAACUCAUAUCAGGAAGAAGAAACUCAGGUGGAAAUAGUGCUUCUGAUAUUGAUGAUGUUUAUUUCCCUGUGCUAGUUGCAAAUAAGCUACAAAAGGGUGAUGUGGGGAGUUUGGUGGACCAAAAUUUACGUGGUGAUGUCAGUUUGAAUCAGGUGGAAAGAGCUUUCAAGGUUGCUUGUUGGUGCAUUCAAGAUCACGAGUUUCAUCGGCCUAAGAUGGCUGAAGUUGUUCAAUAUCUGGAAGGUUUUGUUGAAGUUGAUAUACCCCCAGUGCCAAGAUUUCUUCAAGCUAUUGCAGGGAAUCCACACUCAGAAUCCAACCCGUACGUGGACAAAACUUCCGAAGAGGUGGUGAUAUUACAAGAUUUCCAAGGACAUGCAUCACAUCAUGAAGCUCAUUCUUCGCAGGAAGAUCAGUCAUAG